UAGUGUAGUGGUCAGCACGCUCGACGCGUAUUCGAGAGGUCCGUGGUUCGAGUCCCGG
rnacentral:tRNA from 1 species